UACGAAGGGGGCUAGCGUUGCUCGGAAUCACUGGGCGUAAAGCGCACGUAGGCGGUUUGUUAAGUCAGGGGUGAAAUCCUGGAGCUCAACUCCAGAACUGCCUUUGAUACUGGCAAUCUUGAGUCCGGAAGAGGUGAGUGGAACUCCUAGUGUAGAGGUGGAAUUCGUAGAUAUUAGGAAGAACACCAGUGGCGAAGGCGGCUCACUGGCCCGGUACUGACGCUGAUGUGCGAAAGCGUGGGGAGCAAACAGG
rnacentral:rRNA from 1 species